ensembl:snRNA U2 U2 spliceosomal RNA
AUCGCUUCUCGGCCUUUUGGCUAAGAUCAAGUGUAGUACAAGAAAAAGAAGAUUUCAGAUUGGAGACCAAGGAAAACUUAACUUUGUUCUGUAUGCAGAAGAUACUUUUAAAACUUUCGGAAGAGUUGAAAUUAAAGUCAUUCUUGAGAUGUCGAUAU